rnacentral:tRNA from 1 species
GGGAAUGUGGCUUAGUGGUAGAGUGCUUGCCUAUCAGGCAUGAAGCCCUGGGUUCAAUCCUUAGUACCA